rnacentral:lncRNA from 1 species
AAUAAUUUGCUCUUAGUGGAUUCGAUACCUCAAGGCUCAUUAUCUCUCUGUUGGGGCUCCUAACGGAGUAAUCUCCAGAAUCUAUUCAAGGGAUAUUCGGAGAUUAGUUGAAUCAUACUCAAGAACAAAUUGGCAGAUUUUUCCUCUAAAAACCGAAAAUUUAAAUUCAAAAGCUUCAAUACACUAAAAUUUUUUUCAGAUAAUCAAAACCAAGUUGAAUGCAUGUGUUGAGGGGGAGAAUCUGAAUUUUUAAGAAAGCAAACUCAUUAAAUAUAUAUAAGCCAAACAAUUGAUUGCAUGACAUGAAAGGCUUAUAUAAUUCCAAAUGAAAGGGGGAGCUUUAACUUCAAAAUUUACUGUUUCACACCUUUCAGUUUUGGAUAAAUUAAAAUAAGUAGACACUUGAAUUCAUUUUAAAAUUUUACUAUAAAUCUCCUUGUUUGUUGAGCAAUUCACUUUACAUAUACUCAAUGUUUUGUCAUCAUCAAAA